UUUCACAGCAUUAUGUUGGGAAAGUCCAAGAACAGACCAGCAAAGCUGAGUAAGGUCAGAGAAUUGAACACUUUGAGGCAACUCUGCAAAGAUACGGAUGAAAUUGGACUGAUAAACGAGGCGGUUGGAUUGCAGGCUGUCUUUUUGGAAGACCCAGGAAGAGGUGGCUGCUCCAUGGCAGACAUACAUACACACGUCUGAAGACCGUCAGAAGACCAGCUGGUGGGAGGCAGGAUCGUAAAGACGACUUUUCCACAAAUGCCACAAGCACAAUACUAGAAGAAGAUUGAUAUUUGGAAAAAUGAUGGACUUCAAAAAUAACUUUGGAUUCUCUGACCUGUUUCACUAAUGCACGCUGCUGUAAAACCAGGAGGGGUGGAAAGUGCAAUUCACAGAGAAGGGAAGGUGGAGGCAUGCCCUGAAGCUUCACGGCACUGCUCAUGACCUCUCAGCCAGGCACUCCUGUUGCUGGAGCUGUCUCCUCAACAACCAACCUGCUAAGCCUGGAGAUGAAGGAGGACGUCCAGGAGUCUUGUAUUAUCACUGAGUACAGCUGAAUUCCUGAAAACUUCUAUAAGCAUUUAGACUAAUAGGUGGAUGGAGCAUGAAAAGACAAACAAUGAUGGAAAAAAUAACUACACUGGUCGCAUGUAGCAAACAAGGAUGAAGCUAUAAGGACUCAUUGCCGAGAAAUGCUACUGGAUACACACCUCCACCCCCUCUCACCCAGAAGACUGUUGAUGUGUUUGCAAGACAGAGAUAUUUAUGAAGAAACUUCUUGUACAAGUCGUCCCUGAUGGUUAACUGGUGGCCUGGUCUGGGGAGGACAUUCAGAGGCAGGAGUUCAACCCUCCUCAAGCAAAGCACAGAGCUGAACCUCAGUCUGCCACUUCCCAGAUGUUUAUAUUUAAAGAUAACCACUGCCAGCAUGAACAACUUUUACCUCUCUUUGAGCUUGGAGUUCAUAACGCUGUUUGAAGGCUGUAAGCCCUUAAGUACUGAAACAAGGUGAACAUUCAGCUCCAGAAAUUUCAAAUCCAGGUGAAGUGAACUUGCUGAUUAACUCUGUGAAUGAAAUGAGUAUUUUAGUAGAGUGCUAGGAUGACAGCAAAUGAAAAUCUGUCCUAAAAUAUAGUAAAACCUGCAGGAAAUACAAGGUACCUGCUGAGAAACCAGCUUUCUCUUUACCUAUAAUGUUUAAUCUUUUUGACUCUCGCCUAGUUCUUCUAGGGUAGAGGGAACACAGUACAGAUUUCACAGCGCUGUCAUCACCACUGAAAGGCUCAUAUUAAUCUAGAUUUGUAUGCUAUCUGACCGUUGGCAAUAGGGACAGUUAACAUUCCAAUAUCACUUUCCGUUCAAGGAUACUGAAGAGCAUUGGAAACAUUAAGCUCUGAGGUUGGUAAUUUACUAAUGAGAAAACUGAUUCAAAGAGAAAUUAGGACCUUAAUCUCUCAUCCAUUGAAGCCAAUGGAAAUCAUUUUGUGGUUUCCUUGGGCAGACCGUGUGUGGCUUGUAAAAGGUCACAUGAGAAAUCACAGAAAAAUUAGACCAAAAGUCCAAUAACUUUUUGCUUGUUCAGUACAAGAAUAACUGUCCCUUACCCUAUGCCUGAAUCCUUUGUAUCUGAAUCCCUUUUCCUUAAUGCAAUUUAGAAAUAUUCCAAUAAAUUUAGAUUUGCUAAGAUUACAUUUUCAUAUCACCACCAGCUGUGUGCUGCUGCAGAGGAGAUGUGGAACAACGGAUAGCUUUGGAGUACUACUAUUUUUUUAUUCAGGCCUAACAUCAUGGGUCUUCUCCCUGGGACCUGAGCUGGAGCCUUCAUUGGUAGUGGAUGUUGAUGCUCCAAACAGAUAAUGGAAGCAAAGAUCUCUUGGGCAAGUUUCCCACAGAAGAAGCACAAGCCGGUCCCAUGGAGCUGAAGAACCUUUGUGUCCUGUUUGCCUGCUCACAAUUAUUUUAAGCGCUUUAGUACAACUGAAAGCCAUACCUCAUGUCAUAGAAAUGAGAUUUUCAAAUUCUUUGAAGUAGUUAAACUUUAACAAAAAGUUACUCUGUAUUGCUGAGACCUUUCAUUGAACUAAAGCAUCCGGUUUUUAGGGUGACGUGAUGACAUUGAAGAAGUCACAAUUAAAUUCUUCAGACUUGUUAUUUUAGAGGUAAUAUUCUCCAAGGACCUGAUCCAAAACACUCUGUACUCAGUAGGAGUCUUUCUGCCUCGGGGCUCCCUUGAUAUUUUGCAAGAUCCUCUAUCUCUGGUAAUAUUUCAAGCAGUUUAUUACAAAAUUCCAUAAUGCAAUAUGCAUUGCUUGUGUGGCUAGAAACCUUUAUAUCAACAGUCUAGAUAAAUGCCGGUACUGCUAUCAUAAUACACUUCAACAGAGGUAAGAAAUAUAGUGCUGUAUUUACAAAUUUGAUCCAUUCAGGGCCUAGGGCUGUAGUAACUUAGAUAUAGGAGCGUUUAUGCACAAAAUCACUGGAGCAUACACAUGAUUAUUUAUCAAGAUGGUCUCUGUAUAGUGCUAGUAUUAUGCAUUAGCACCUACUUGAUAUAACAGGAAUAAACAUUUCACGAAAGAACACGAAGGACACUGGAAAGGUAUAUCACAAGCACAGUUUUAUAAUGAACCCAGGGAAUAUUUAUGUUGUACAUUCCACAUAAAAUAUGUGAGAGCUAGCCAAGUAAAGCCCUCCCAAAACUAGGUAAGCAGGACACUUUUAUAAUGGCGAUAUAACUGAAAGAGCGUUCCUAGACUUUCAUGAACCUUAUGUUUUCUAUUGGUGUUCCUUCAACUUAUGUAUCACUUAAAGGUCAUUCCACAGAACGAUUGAAAGAAUAGAUGUAUUUUGGUGGUAUACAGAACAGACUUAAGUUUUUGGACUAAUCUGGGCUUAGCAAACUCUAGUGUGCAGUGAGUGGCAAAUGUAUUAUUCUACUGUGUCAUAUAAAGGACUACCUCAGAUGUUUGAAAUAAUGCAUAUAGUUAAAGGUUAUGGUAGAAUAACAUUAAAGCAAUUCAUUGUUUCUGGGCCUGAUGGUAAUAUGAAUGAUAAAAACGUGAUGACUAUUAUAGCCUUGAAGCAUUACAGUCAUUUUGCUAUGAUAAUAGUCCUCAGAUUUGGUUAUAGCCCUAAUAUGUUACCUGAAAGUUAAAAUUAGAUUCUCAGGUCUGUUGGCACAUAAUGAUUACUUAUUGUCUAGAAUGUAAUUUCUGAAAGAAAACGAGAGUUGAUCUUGAGGAGAAAUGCUGGUU